rnacentral:lncRNA from 1 species
GCUCUUAAUCUGAUUGAGACUUCGGCACGUAAACGCGGUUCUAGGAGCCCGGACUGGCUCAGUGCACGACUUAUCAGAAACUUACCCGUAUCUAACACACAAUAGAUUCGUGCACAUCUGUUGAAUAAAGAAGAGUUUGUUUUUCGUGUUUGAACCGUGUCUGCUUCAAUAACGCUUCCUGCAGUGGUCCUUUUUAGGAGGGGUACAGUGAGUGGUAUACUGCGAGGGAAGCGGGACAAGGAGGCAAAGGGAAGGGAAACAGGCGGGCCCAGAGAGCAGCUUCCGAGUGACCUGGAAAAUCAGCGCCCAGAACUCAUCUAGACACAGAGGCUCGGUGCCAUGGCAUUCCGCGCUGACUGCCAGAACCGCGGGCCGCGGAGCCAGCACUGUGCCGGCAACGUGGUGGGGCGAAUGCCCUGGGGUCGGAGAGGUGGAAAGGCCCGAAAGGAAGAGCCCAGAAGGGGACAGUCCCCACCCAACGGCAGGGUAAAGGCCCGUCUCUACUGGUUACUAGAGACGUGGAACCCAGGAAGCUCGAGGCCCCAG